rnacentral:rRNA from 1 species
AGACGGAGGGGGCUAGCGUUGUUCGGAUUUACUGGGCGUAAAGGGCGCGUAGGCGGAUUAGUAAGUUGGGAGUGAAAGCCCGGGGCUCAACCUCGGAACUGCUUUCAAAACUGCUGGUCUUGAGUGAAGUAGGGGGUGAUGGAAUUCCUAGUGUAGAGGUGAAAUUCUUAGAUAUUAGGAGGAACACCGGUGGCGAAGGCGGUCACCUGGACUUCAACUGACGCUAAGGCGCGAAAGCGUGGGGAGCAAACAGGAUUAGAAACCCGAGUAGUCC